rnacentral:rRNA from 1 species
UGCCAGCCGCCGCGGUAAUACAGAGGGUGCGAGCGUUAAUCGGAAUUACUGGGCGUAAAGCGUGCGUAGGCGGUUAAUUAAGUCAGAUGUGAAAGCCCUGGGCUCAACCUGGGAAUUGCAUUUGAUACUGGUUAACUUGAGUAUGGGAGAGGGAAGUGGAAUUUCCGGUGUAGCGGUGAAAUGCGUAGAUAUCGGAAGGAACACCAGUGGCGAAGGCGACUUUCUGGACCGAUACUGACGCUGAGACGCGAAAGCGUGGGGAGCAAACAGGAUUAGAUA